rnacentral:rRNA from 1 species
GGUUAAGUGAAUAAGGGCGCACGGUGGAUGCCUUGGCACUAGGAGCCGAUGAAGGACGGGACUAACACCGAUAUGCUUUGGGGAGCUGUACGUAAGCUAUGAUCCAGAGAUUUCCGAAUGGGGGAACCCAGCAUCUUUUAUAGGAUGUUACGUUUGCGUGAAUACAUAGCGCAUUCGAGGUAGACGCAGAGAACUGAAACAUCUAAGUACCUGCAGGAAGAGAAAGAAAAUUCGAUUCCCUGAGUAGCGGCGAGCGAAACGGGAAAAGCCCAAACCAAUGAGCUUGCUCAUUGGGGUUGUAGGACUCCAAUAUGGUAGUUCUUUCAGAUAGUCGAAUGACUUGGAAAAGUCAGUCAAAGAGGGUAAAAACCCCGUAGAUGAAAUUU